GACGAACGCCGGCGGCGUGCUUAACACAUGCAAGUCGAACGGUAAGGCCCUUCGGGGUACACGAGUGGCGAACGGGUGAGUAACACGUGGGUGAUCUGCCCUGCACUUCGGGAUAAGCCUGGGAAACUGGGUCUAAUACCGGAUAGGACCACUGCCUGCAUGGGUGGUGGUGGAAAGCUUUUGCGGUGUGGGAUGGGCCCGCGGCCUAUCAGCUUGUUGGUGGGGUGAUGGCCUACCAAGGCGACGACGGGUAGCCGGCCUGAGAGGGUGACCGGCCACACUGGGACUGAGAUACGGCCCAGACUCCUACGGGAGGCAGCAGUGGGGAAGAUUGCACAAUGGGCGCAAGCCUGAUGCAGCGACGCCGCGUGGGGGAUGACGGCCUUCGGGUUGUAAACCUCUUUCAGCACCGACGAAGCGCAAGUGACGGUAGGUGCAGAAGAAGGACCGGCCAACUACGUGCCAGCAGCCGCCGUAA
rnacentral:rRNA from 1 species